rnacentral:rRNA from 1 species
AGCGAACGCUGGCGGCAGGCCUAACACAUGCAAGUCGAACGGCAGCUCCGUAAGUACUUGCGCUUGCGUGUGGCGCAUGGCGGACGGGGCAGGUAUAUAUGGGAAACUUCUUUUACGCGUGUGCUAAUGUAGGAAAAGUUCCUCUAGUACCAGAUACGACGCCCUUGGGACAGCAGGGGAUCUUCUGACCUUGCGCGUUUGGAUGAGCCGCUGUCGGGUUAGCUAGUGGGCGGGGUCACGGCCCACCAAGGCCCAGAUCCGUAGCGCGCCAGAGCGGAGGAUCCGCUACAUUGGAGCUGAGACACGGUCCAGACUCCUACGGGAGGCAGCAGUGGGGAAUAUUGGGCAAGGGGGGAAAGGCUGAUCCAGCGAUACCGCGUGGGUGAAGAAGGCGUUCGGGUUGUAAAGCCCUGUUGUUGGGAGAGAAAAGCAGCAGGUUAAUACGCCGCUGUUCUGACGGUACCCAGAGAAUAAGCACCGGCUAACUUCGUG